GACGAACGCUGGCGGCGUGCUUAACACAUGCAAGUCGAACGGAAAGGCCCUGCUUUUGUGGGGUGCUCGAGUGGCGAACGGGUGAGUAACACGUGAGUAACCUGCCCUUGACUUUGGGAUAACUUCAGGAAACUGGGGCUAAUACCGGAUAGGAGCUCCUGCUGCAUGGUGGGGGAUGGAAAGUUUCGGCGGUUGGGGAUGGACUCGCGGCUUAUCAGCUUGUUGGUGGGGUAGUGGCUUACCAAGGCUUUGACGGGUAGCCGGCCUGAGAGGGUGACCGGCCACAUUGGGACUGAGAUACGGCCCAGACUCCUACGGGAGGCAGCAGUGGGGAAUAUUGCACAAUGGGCGGAAGCCUGAUGCAGCAACGCCGCGUGCGGGAUGACGGCCUUCGGGUUGUAAACCGCUUUCGCCUGUGACGAAGCGUGAGUGGCGGUAAUGGGUAAAGAAGCACCGGCUAACUACGUG
rnacentral:rRNA from 1 species